rnacentral:rRNA from 1 species
UACGAAGGGGGCGAGCGUUGUUCGGAAUUACUGGGCGUAAAGGGCGCGUAGGCGGCCGAUCAAGUCAGCUGUGAAAGUCCUGGGCUUAACCUGGGGACUGCAUUUGAUACUGAUUGGCUUGAAUUCGGGAGAGGAUAGCGGAAUUCCCAGUGUAGAGGUGAAAUUCGUAGAUAUUGGGAAGAACACCGGUGGCGAAGGCGGCACCCUGGAACGGUAUUGACGCUGAGGCGCGAAAGCCAGGGGAGCAAACGGG